UACGGGGGGAGCAAGCGUUGUUCGGAUUUACUGGGCGUAAAGGGCGCGUAGGCGGCCACCGCAAGUCGACUGUGAAAUCUCCGGGCUUAACCCGGAAAGGUCAGCCGAAACUGCGGGGCUAGAGUGCAGAAGGGGCAACUGGAAUUCUCGGUGUAGCGGUGAAAUGCGUAGAUAUCGAGAGGAACACCUGCGGCGAAGGCGGGUUGCUGGGCUGACACUGACGCUGAAGCGCGAAAGCCAGGGGAGCAAACGGG
rnacentral:rRNA from 1 species